UCGUCGAUCUGCUGCGGGCAGAUGAAGUGGAUGUGCGAGUCGAAGCCGCCUGCGGUGAUGAUCUUGCCUUCGCCCGCGAUGAUGUCGGUGCCCGGGCCAAUGACAAUAGUGACGCCGGGCUGGAUGUCGGGAUUGCCCGCCUUGCCGAUCGCAACGAUGCGGCCUUCCUUGAUGCCGAUAUCGCCCUUGACGAUGCCCCAGUGGUCGAGGAUCAGCGAGUUGGUGAUCACCGUAUCCAUCGCGCCCUGUUUAUUCGUCAUCUGCGACUGGCCCAUGCCGUCGCGG
rnacentral:sRNA from 1 species